ensembl:lncRNA
CACGGUCGGUCCGUGCUUUUCAUUCAGGUCAGAGAAAGUCUCUUCUUGGAGUGUACAGCCCUGAGUCCAUCUGAACUGGAGAUGGUCCACCCGUGGGUCAUGGGCCUGGUCUGAUUCGUAGCUGUGUUUUGUGGGCUGACAGUGUUCAGUGUCUUUUUGUUUAAUUUACUUUUAUUGAAGUAUGGUUGAUUUACAGUCUUUCAUGUAUACAGAAAUGUGAUUCAGUUAGACCUGUGUGUUUGUAUAUCCGUUCUAUUUUAUUUUCUUUUCCAUGAUAGGCUAUUACGCGUUAUUGAAUAUAGCUCCCUGUGUUAUCCAGUAGGUCCUUGCGGUUUGUCUAUUUUAUAUAUAGUGAUGUGCCUCUGUUAAUUCCAAACCCUCUUACUUAUCCCUCCAUCUAACUUUCCUCUCUGGGUUUCCCAGGUGGUACUGGCGGUAAAGAAUCCGCCUGCCAUUGCAGGAGACACAAGAGAUGGUGGUUCUAUCCCUGGGUCGGGAAGAUCCCCUGGAGUAGGAAGUGGUAACCCACUCCAGUAUUCUCACCUGGAAAAUCGCAUGGACAGAAGAUCCUGGUGGGCUACAGUCCGUGGGGUCGCCAAGAGUCGGACAGGACGGAGCACAGGCCAGAGCUAAGCUGCCUUUCCCCUCUGGCAACCAGAAGCUUGCUUUCUACAUCUAUGAAGAAGACAUGCUCUGAUCUCAGCCACAAGGUGAAAUUGUUCUUCUUGCCCUGAUCCUUCAGGUUUUCCUGGACCCACGCCCAGGAGUGUUUGUUGGAAGAUGGAUGUUCGUUGAUGCCAG